AGAGAUCAUCCCUCAAUUGAACGCUGGCGGCAUGCCUUACACAUGCAAGUCGAACGGCAGCGCGGGGCAACCUGGCGGCGAGUGGCGAACGGGUGAGUAAUAUAUCGGAACGUACCCUGGAGUGGGGGAUAACGUAGCGAAAGUUACGCUAAUACCGCAUACGAUCUAAGGAUGAAAGCAGGGGACCGCAAGGCCUUGUGCUCCUGGAGCGGCCGAUAUCUGAUUAGCUAGUUGGUGGGGUAAAGGCCUACCAAGGCAUCGAUCAGUAGCUGGUCUGAGAGGACGACCAGCCACACUGGAACUGAGACACGGUCCAGACUCCUACGGGAGGCAGCAGUGGGGAAUUUUGGACAAUGGGCGCAAGCCUGAUCCAGCAAUGCCGCGUGAGUGAAGAAGGCCUUCGGGUUGUAAAGCUCUUUUGUCAGGGAAGAAACGGUGAAGGCUAAUAUCCUUUGCUAAUGACGGUACCUGAAGAAUAAGCACCGGCUAACUACGUGCCAGCAGCCGCGGUAAUACGUAGGGUGCAAGCGUUAAUCGGAAUUACUGGGCGUAAAGCGUGCGCAGGCGGUUUUGUAAGUCUGUCGUGAAAUCCCCGGGCUCAACCUGGGAAUUGCGAUGGAGACUGCAAGGCUAGAAUCUGGCAGAGGGGGGUAGAAUUCCACGUGUAGCAGUGAAAUGCGUAGAGAUGUGGAGGAACACCGAUGGCGAAGGCAGCCCCCUGGGUCAAGAUUGACGCUCAUGCACGAAAGCGUGGGGAGCAAACAGGAUUAGAUACCCUGGGUAGUCCACGCCCUAAACGAUGUCUACUAGUUGUCGGGUUU
rnacentral:rRNA from 1 species